AUUUAUGCAGCCAACAGACACAUGAAAAAAUGCUCAUCAUCACUGGCCAUCAGAGAAAUGCAAAUCAAAACCACAAUGAGAUACCAUCUCAUACCAGCUGGAAUGGCGAUCAUUAAAAAGUCAGGAAACAACAGGUGCUGGAGAGGAUGUGGAGAAAUAGGAACACUUUUACACUGUUGGUGGGACUAUAAACUGGUUCAACCAUUGUGGAAGACAGUGUGGUGAUUCCUCAAGGAUCUACAACUAGAAAUACCAUUUGACCCAGCCAUACCAUUACUGGGUAUAUACCCAAAGGAUUAUGAAUCAUGCUGCUAUAAAGACACAUGCACACAUAUGUUUAUUGCGGCACUAUUCACAAUAGCAAAGACUUGGAACCAACCCAAAUGUCCAUCAAUGAUAGACUGGAUUAAGAAAAUGUGGCACAUAUACAGCAUGGAAUACUAUGCAGCCAUAAAAAAGGAUGAGUUCAUGUCCUUUGUAGGGACAUGGAUGAAGCUGGAAACCAUCAUUCUCAGCAAACUAUUGCCAGGACAGAAAACCAAACACCGCAUGUUCUCACUCAUAGAUGGGAAUUGAACAAUGAGAACACUUGGGUCUAUGGCCAUACUACCCUGAAUGCGCCCGAUCUCUUCUGAUCUCAGAAGCUAAGCAGGGUCAGGCCUGGUUAGUACUUGGAUGGGAGAACACUUGGACACAGGAAGGGGAACAUCACACACUGGGGCCUGUCGUGGGGUGGGGGGAGGGGGGAGGGAUAGCAUUAGGAGAUAUACCUAAUGUAAAUGAUGAGUUAAUGGGUGCAGCACACCAACAUGGCACAUGUAUACAUAUGUAACAAACCUGCACGUUGUGCACAUGUACUCUAGAACUUAAAGUAUAAUAAAAAAAAAAAAAAGGAAAAUUCCCACUA
rnacentral:lncRNA from 1 species